UCCCUGGUGGCUCAGAUGGUAAAGAAUCUGCCUGUAGCACAGGAGACCCUGGUUCAAUCCCUGGCUUGGGAA
rnacentral:tRNA from 1 species